rnacentral:rRNA from 1 species
AUUAACGCUAGCGGUAGGCAUAAUACAUGCAAGUUGAACGGCAGCACAGGUAGCAAUACUGGGUGGCGAGUGGCGCACGGGUGCGUAACACGUAUGCAACCUACCCUAUACAGGCGAAUAACCUUUAGAAAUGAGGGCUGAUACGCCGUAGUAUUACAGAUGGGCAUCUAUUUGUAAUUAAAGAUUUAUCGGUAUAGGAUGGGCAUGCGUCCCAUUAGUUAGUUGGUAAGGUAACGGCUUACCAAGACGAUGAUGGGUAGGG